rnacentral:tRNA from 1 species
UCUAAUGUGGCAGAAUAGUGCAAUGGAAUUAAGCCCCAAAUAUAAAGAUUAAACUUUCUUUAGAA